AGUGUUAUCACUAAUAUCACUUAUUAUGUUCAGACAUUAAAAAACCCUUAAUUUUACUUAAGACAAAUAAAGUCAUUAGUUAUUAGUUCGAAUUCAAAAUUUACUCCUGAUGCUAUGACUUAAAAGUUGAUUAAGUAAAGUUUAUGCACGUUAUUUUGAAACAUGUCGGAUUUAAAAGAUCAACCUAAUAAGUCUAAAAAACCUGCUGAUACAGCAUUUAAACAACAACGUUUACCUGCAUGGCAACCUAUACUUACAGCUCGUAAUGUAAUGCCAAUAUUUUUUGCACUUGCCAUCGCAUUUAUACCUAUUGGUAUUGGAUUAUUAUUCCUGACAAAUCAAGUACAAGAGUUUAAUUAUGAUUACACUUACUGUAAAUCUUCAAGUGAUAUGACCCGUACCUGUGCUGACAUUAUAGGGAAUUAUCGUAAUUUGAGCUGUGAUUGUAAAAUUACAUUUAGUUUAGAAAAUCAUUUUUCUCCUAAUGUUUACAUGUAUUAUGGACUCACCAAUUAUUAUCAAAACCAUAGACGUUAUGUGAAAUCACGAGAUGAUUUUCAACUUUUAGGAAUAUUAAGUAAUACACCAUCAAGAGAUUGUCAUCCUUAUGAUUUUGAUGAUAAUAAGCCUAUUGCACCUUGUGGAGCUAUUGCCAAUUCUUUAUUUAGUGAUGUAUUAAAACUUAAAUACAAUACAAUAGAUGUACCAUUGUUGAGAACUGGAAUAGCAUGGCCAUCGGAUAAAAAUGUGAAGUAUCAAAAUCCACCUGGGGAUUUAAAAAUUGCAUUUAAAGAUUAUGCAAAACCAGUUGAUUGGCACUUGAAUAUUUGGGAAUUGGAUAUAGAAAAUCCUAGUAAUAAUGGUUUUGAGAACGAAGAUUUAAUUGUUUGGAUGCGCACAGCUGCAUUACCUGAUUUUCGUAAAUUGUAUAGACGAAUAGAUCAUUCUAGUGAUACUUUUAAAAAUGGGUUACCAAUAGGAAAUUAUACAUUGUCCAUAGAAUACAAUUACCCUGUAGCUGGAUUUGGAGGAACUAAGAGUUUUAUAUUAUCUAACACAUCAUUUACUGGAGGAAAGAAUUAUUUUCUGGGAUAUGCAUAUAUAGUAGCUGGAUGCAUAUCUUUUUUCUUGGGCCUUUUGUUUAUGGUCAUUCACAUUAAAUAUAAAUCCAGAAAACGUUCAAAUGUAUGAAUAUAAAAAAGUUAGAGGAGGUAAAUGAAAGAGGAAUUUAGAUGGAUAAAUCCCUCCCUCAAUAUACCCUUUUUGACAUAUUUUUUUUAUAUAGUAGUGUUCCAUCAGGUCUUGACAUCUUCAAUAACUUUUGAUCCAGUGAAUAUUUUGUUACUUUUUUAAAAAUAGUUUUUAGAGUUUUAAACUAUGUUAAAAAACAUUUUUUCCCAAAUUUCAAAAAAGCCGUUUUUAAGUUUUUUUUUCAUAAAAAUGUUAUAUAACAUUAUGAAUAAUAAUUUUAGUUCUAAUCAAUAAUUUACAAACAUUUUUAUACAUAGAGUUGGUGUGAAACACAUGUGGAUUAUGUGUACACCAGUACAAGUGUACCCACCAACUUAACAUUCAUACCUACUCUAUAUAUUUAAAUGCUUGUAACUCAUUAAGUACACAUCCUUAAGUUGUUUACAACACGACAAAAUUUGUAUAAAAAUAUAAUAAAAAAUCGUACUUUAAAAUUUUGAUUAAAAUUUAAAAAUUAAGAUAUAUUUUUUAAUGUAAAAUUUUUUUUUUUUAUUGCUUUAACAGUUCUUUAAUGGUCAUAGCGGCCUCCUCCAAAUAAGGAGAUUUCUUAACCAUUGAUACUCCGGAACGGGUGGUUAAUCCGCCGAGAGGGAUGGUGACUCAAAUUACCAAACUGAUCUCUCAUUCGGCAAAUGUAGCCACCCGUGUCUGAGUUUUGAACCCUAGGUAGUGCAGGUUAAACACUGCCAUGUUACCGACUCGGCCACACCGUCCCUGAGUGUGAAAAAUAAAAUAAUUAUUUUUUUUUAUUAGAAAUAAAUAAUAAAACAUAUGUUUUUAAUAUACUCCAAAUCUGUAAAAAUUAUUUAAAAAAAAGUAACGCAACAUGUUUGCUGGUUCUAAAGUUUUUAAAAAUGUUAAAACCUGUUAGGACACAUACAAAGUAAAUUAAAGGAAAUACUAUUGCAAAAAUUAAUUAAAAAAUUGAGAUAGGCUUAAUGAGAAAAAUGAUAUUUAUGCAUAUCUAAUAGUAUCAUUACGAUAUAUUGAUAUAUCAAAGAAAAAAAAUCAAUGUCAUAUUAAGUUGAUAAAUAUUGCCCAUCAUUACUUGCAGUUUCAGUACCUAUUCCAUUGCGCUUGGAAAUGGUUUUCGAAUCAACUUAUAAUACUCGCUAUUUUUUUAGAAAUUUGUUAUGUAUCAAAGUUUUACAUUAUGAAAAUAAAAAAAAGUUAUUAAUUUAAAACUUAUAAAGUAUUUAUCUCAAAAAGUCACGCGAAAUUACUAGCAAAAUCAAGGAAACGUAUUUCGGGAACAAUGUUUUCAUUAUCAACCUAACCUAUCCAAACCUUUUGAAGAUUUGAAAAUUUGAAAAACUAUAAAUAAAGAAAUUCACUAAUUUGUUGCGCUGAAAAUUUUUUUUGCCAAAAUAGCAUCUCAAUCUCAAACAAAUUUUAAACGCCUUUAUAGAAUACUGUAACUAAUAAAAAGCCAAACCAAAUCAAAUUUAUCUAAUAUUAAUAUAAAUUAAAAAAAUUUAAAAAUAGUAUACAAAUUGAUAUACAAAAAUAUUUUUUAAAUACAUUUAAAAUUGUUUAACCUGUGCGAACAAUUAAAAGUUAUGUAUUCACAUACCCUUGCUUAAAUAUUUCUAAGAGAUAUUUAGAGGUUAACUUCUGAGCUGCUGAAAUUAAAGCCAUUACUUCCCCCCGUUAUGCCCCUGAACAUUAUAUGAUAAUUGUACUUUUCGUGAACAUUGAUCUGCCCUUAAGCCGCGCCCCAAGAGGUUAAAUUUUUAAAAAAUGGUAUUUUUUACAUUUACGUCUCAAAGUUUUGACAAUAGGAAAUUUAUAAAAUUAAAGUUUAAUUAAAUUUUUAAUAAUAGUUAUGUCUUGUAAUCUUUUCAUAAAAUUCCAUUCAUAAAAGCCCAUUCAAUCAUAAAAUAAAAAAAAAAUGAUUUCGAUAUUAUGUAUUGCUUUUACAGUCGUGCAAAUAAACAGCGCGAUGUAUACCUUCAUAAUUUUAAUUUUGCGAUGGCGUAGUUCCUUUACCAAAUAGGGGUCUCCAUAUCCAUGCCGACGUCUUUAAAAUCACGUUGUGAAAGAACACGAGAAAUUAGCAAAUCUCCCAUCAUUGGGUUUGGACGAGCGGCUUUAUGUCUUACACAAUGUCAAUUUAGGAAAUGUUGUUAUAGUUCCUCCAUCAACAUCCUACAACUGAAUAAGUUAAUUUAAUAGUAUAAUUAAAAAUUUAGCUAUUAUUUCUUCACAGCACAUGUAAUGUAUAUUGUAAUUGUUAAUUUAUGAGCUUAUGAAACACUAUGUGAUACGCAUAUUAUUUAAUGAAUAUUUAUUACUCAUUAUUCAAUUUCUCAAUUGUUAUAAUGGUCAGUUGUAGAAUAUCCAUCUUUAUUAAUAUGGAUAAUACACUAUUUUAAUAUUAAUAACACAAUGUUUAAUUAUGGUACAUUUGAUUUAUAAUUUAUACUUAAUACUAUUUAUGUAUGAAGUAAAUAUUUUUAAAAGAUAGUGUAAAUGACUACUAUAGCAAAACAUAAACAAACACAAAUGUAUGCCAAAAUAUUUAAAAAAUAUAAUCUAAAUUUAUAUUA